rnacentral:rRNA from 1 species
GGCCAGACUCCUACGGGAGGCAGCAGUGGGGAAUAUUGCACAAUGGGGGAAACCCUGAUGCAGCGACGCCGCGUGGGUGAAGGAGCGUUUCGGCGCGUAAAGCCCUAUCGGCAGGGAAGAAGGAGGACGGUACCUGACUAAGAAGCCCCGGCUAACUACGUGCCAGCAGCCGCGGUAAUACGUAGGGGGCAAGCGUUAUCCGGAUUUACUGGGUGUAAAGGGAGCGUAGGCGGUUAGAUAAGUCUGAUGUGAAAGCCCACAGCUUAACUGUGGGAUUGCAUUGGAAACUAUAGAACUAGGGUGUCGGAGAGGUAAGUGGAAUUCCUAGUGUAGCGGUGAAAUGCGUAGAUAUUAGGAGGAACACCAGUGGCGAAGGCGGCUUACUGGACGAUGACUGACGCUGAGGCUCGAAAGCGUGGGGAGCAAACAGGAUUAGAUACCCUGGUA